rnacentral:tRNA from 1 species
AAAUGAUAUAACUUAAUUAGGUAAAGUGGAUAAUUGCAGAUUAUUUUAUUUCAGUUCAAAUCUGAAUAUCAUUUA